UACGAAGGGGGCUAGCGUUGUUCGGAAUUACUGGGCGUAAAGCGCACGUAGGCGGAUAUUUAAGUCAGGGGUGAAAUCCCAGAGCUCAACUCUGGAACUGCCUUUGAUACUGGGUAUCUUGAGUAUGGAAGAGGUAAGUGGAAUUGCGAGUGUAGAGGUGAAAUUCGUAGAUAUUCGCAGGAACACCAGUGGCGAAGGCGGCUCACUGGCCCGGUACUGACGCUGAGGUGCGAAAGCGUGGGGAGCAAACAGG
rnacentral:rRNA from 1 species